UACAGAGGUCCCGAGCGAUGUUCGGAUUCAUUGGGCGUAAAGGGUGCGUAGGCGGCUUACUAAGUUUGAUGUGAAAUCCCGGGGCUCAACCCUGGAAUUGCAUUGAAUACUGGCAGGCUAGAGUACUGGAGAGGAAACUGGAAUUUACGGUGUAGCAGUGAAAUGCGUAGAGAUCGUAAGGAAGACCAGUGGCGAAGGCGAGUUUCUGGACAGUAACUGACGCUGAGGCACGAAGGCUAGGGGAGCAAACGGG
rnacentral:rRNA from 1 species